UCAUGCUCAACCAGUUCUCACCGCACCGCCACAACCCCUACUCCUUAAAGGAUCAUCAUCCAAGAUGAAGACCACUAUCAAGGUGCCAACCGGCACAAGAAUCCUUCCACCUAGACCCAAUGAGAGGGUCGUUGGAGUCAAGACCAACCGGAGCGGCGAGAUCAGCAGUGUUCGCUACACUACGGAGAAGGAAAGGCCUUACUUUUAAGGGAUUAGAGCAUCCAAAGUCCGUUUCAUCCCUCCAAAGGCAGCCCCGAAGCACUCUCUCAAUGCUUUUGAGACACCUCCCAAGCGUCGCAAGACUAUAAUGGAUAUUGAUGAGGAAGUUUGCAGGCUAGAUAGAGUUAUCAUAGACCUCCAGUCCUUGAUUAAUUCACUCACUAGGCAGCUCUCUAACCACAACACCAUCAUACUAGGCCUUAGGCAGGAUCUUGCCAGUGCCAACAAGAAGAUCAAGGAAUUAGAGCGCCGCUAAGUUAUCUAGAUUAGACCUUGAGGCAAUGCAUCUUAGUCAUCUAUCUUUAAAUUCGGUUUAAGUUUGCUAUUAUCAUCAGUUUGCUAUUAUCAGUUUGCUAUCAGUUUGCUAUCAGUCUUUUGUAAAAAAUGCCUCAAGAUCAAUAAAGAGUAUUAUUAUUAUUAUGUCUUGUGUGUCUCUACUUUAUUUUUGUGCAAGAAAGCAGAAAACAAGUAUGGGGGAGAUCCCUCGACAUACCAAACACACUCCAACUACACCACUCCACGAUUCAGGUACACACUCUGCACACUUUACUUUACACAUAUAUAUAUUUUGGAUUAUGCAGAAUAUUGUUUCUGACAUGAUAAAAUAAAAAGAUUAAAAUAUUUCUAAUCAUGAUUAAUCUCAAUCUAUGAUAUUUCCUGAAAACUUGCAAUUAUUAUAAAAUCAUUUUAAAACCCUGUGUUACUGAAGUCAAUAUAGAAUAUGUGAUGAUAGAGUAUGAGUUUCUUAUUCUUGAUAUCAUUGUUGCUUGGAGAAUUUAUUUCAAAAUAUUCAAAAUUCUAGCUACCAUCCUCAGUGUUUCAUAUGCCUGAUAAAACUGAAAAUAUUAAUUAUGAUUAUAAAAGCUAUCUGCUCUGUAUUGAGUUUGUUCAAAAUAAGUUAGACCCUUGUUGAGAGAUUUAUCAUGCUCCCAAGAUCAAGACAUUAUUUCAGAAAGAUUCACUCUUCCGAAGUAUUACUGCAUUAGAGGCAUGGGCUAUGCAAAAAUAGAGAUAUUUCGAGGAAAUAAAAAGGAGCAAUUGCUCGACAACCUCGCAGAAAAAAAAUGGACAAGUGUCCGGCAGUAGAAUUAGGGGUACCUCGGUAUUCACUUAAAAAAAAGAGAGAAAAAAAUGAUAGCCCAUAGUCCCUCUAAUAAGCAAUAUGCCAGCAAGAGUUGACAAAGAUUUUAAUUUCCAAAGUCUUUGAUCUAAGAGUAUGACAUUCCCCUCCUCGGAUCCCGUUUUGAUCAGGCAAUAAAUGCAAAGUAAGAAUUCUUGAGAAUUUUUGGAAAAUAAAACAGCCUCAGUGAGAUAUAUAUAAAAGAUAAUGAGUGAUCUAAGAGAACCUAUGAGGAUCAAAAGGUAUGCUAACUUUCUUUCAAAAAUAUACAAAAACUCCAAGUGACAGGAUUGAGAAGAAAGGAUCUUUACUCUUGAUCAUAAACUUCUCUGACUAUGGUACACAGUGGAUUUUAAACACCCUGCAAUUAUAAAGAGAAUGUUUUAAAUGUUUACCCUAGAUAUUUUUCUUAACCAUCAUUUUCUCGAGGACGAGUAAAAGCCUAAGUAUGGGGGUAUUUGUUGACGGUUCUUAAGUAUCAAUUUUAAUUAUCAAAUAAACAUAAGAAAGGACCAAUAUGCAACCAACACCUAGAAUUAGGGUUUGAUCUGACAGAAUUCCACGAGUUUUGUUGUUUAUCUAUUUCUGCAGGGGGUUAUCAGGAAAUAAGGAAGAAAGGCCCACAUGUCGGGAUUACAUAGAGAUAUCAACGCACCGCGCAAUUUUCUACCAUCUAGAAGACUCCAGAAGCCACGAGACC
rnacentral:lncRNA from 1 species